rnacentral:rRNA from 1 species
CCUACGGGGCGCAGCAGUGGGGAAUAUUGGACAAUGGGCGAAAGCCUGAUCCAGCCAUGCCGCGUGUGUGAAGAAGGCCUUCGGGUUGUAAAGCACUUUCAGUGGGGAAGAAAGCCUUGGGGCUAAUACCCUCGAGGAAGGACAUCACCCACAGAAGAAGCACCGGCUAACUCCGUGCCAGCAGCCGCGGUAAUACGGAGGGUGCGAGCGUUAAUCGGAAUUACUGGGCGUAAAGCGCGCGUAGGCGGUCUGAUAAGCCGGUUGUGAAAGCCCCGGGCUCAACCUGGGAACGGCAUCCGGAACUGUCAGGCUAGAGUGCAGGAGAGGAAGGUAGAAUUCCCGGUGUAGCGGUGAAAUGCGUAGAGAUCGGGAGGAAUACCAGUGGCGAAGGCGGUCUUCUGGACUGACACUGACGCUGAGGUGCGAAAGCGUGGGUAGCAAACAGGAUUAGAUACCCGAGUAGUC